GAUGAAGAACGUAGCGAAAUGCGAUAAGUAAUGUGAAUUGCAGAAUUCAGUGAAUCAUCGAAUCUUUGAACGCACAUUGCGCCCGCCAGUAUUCUGGCGGGCAUGCCUGUUCGAGCGUCAUUUCAACCAUCAAGCCCUGCUUGCGUUGGGGUCCUGCGGCUGCCCGCGGGCCCUGAAAACCAGUGGCGGGCUCGCUAGUCACACCGAGCGCAGUAAUACAUCUCGCUUUGGGCGUGCGGCGGGUUCUUGCCGUUAAACACCCCCUUUUUACCAAGGUUGACCUCGGAUCAGGUAGGAAUACCCGCUGAACUUAAGCAUAUCAAUAAGCGGAGGA
rnacentral:misc_RNA from 1 species